rnacentral:lncRNA from 1 species
UUGGAAUAUGGACUUCCAGGUAAGCGUAACCUGCGGCAUGCCCCACUGUUUUCCCUCCCUUAUUUUCCAGAUGGUUUAAACAGUGAAACAGAAGAGUGGCUGUUUCCUGGCCUGUGUGAUUGGUUUCCAGAAUUGUUUGCUAACCUUUCAGAUUCAACCUCUGGAUCUUACUGUGAUUAAUUUAGUACCAGAAGAUGACUAGCAGCAGUCUUCUCAGAAAAGAUGUCAAAAAUAAAGAAAUUAGGAGUAUAACAUUUUGGUGACA